rnacentral:ncRNA from 1 species
AUUUACAUAAUUUAUGUUAUGUAAACUAAAAACAUAGACAAACCCAAGAUCUAUUUAAACAGGUUCAAAAGCUCUGCUAACGUAACAUUCUAUUUUUUCGAUUUUCGCGAGCGGAGCGAGCCUCGUCAGAUACUUUUCGCUGUGGUAAAAGUAGCGUCAUUAUCGGUAGUGACGCUACUCGGAAAUUUUGAGACCUUGGGCUCAAAAUUUAGGUAUGGAAUUCCAUAGGAAGUCGCUACCGUCCGAACCACCUAAGAAAAGUAUCACAAAAGAAACCUAAUUUUGCAUAAUCUAUAUUAUGUAAAUUU